GGGUCCCGGUGAUGAGAACGUGGAAUUUGGCUCCAUUUUUGGGGUCCCGACAACAAUUGUGGGGAAUCCGUUCCAUGCUGCCUUCCUUCUGAGGGGCCC